rnacentral:lncRNA from 1 species
CUCUCUGCCAUGUGAAGAUACAGCAAGAAGGUGGCCAUCUGCAAGCCAGGAAAAGGGGCCAUGGCAAACACUGAAUCUGCUCACAGUCUGAACUUGAACUUGUCAGCCUCCAGAAUUAUGGGGCCUUUGGUGAAUGGAAUUUGUGCUCUUACAAAAGGGACUUCAGAGAGCUUGUAUGCCCUUCCACCAUGUGAAGACACAGGAAGAAGGCACCAUCUAUGAACCAGAAAAUGGGCCCUCACCAGACAUCACAUCUGCUGGCAUCUUUAUCAAGGACUUCUCAGCCUCCAAAAUUGUGAGAAAUAAAUUUCUGUUGUGCAUAAGCUACCCAGUCUAUGGUAUUUUGUUAUAGCAGCCUGAAUGGACUAAGACACACUUAUUGAACCCCCACGUGUUUUUCUGAAGAAUGAAUGCCUCACAUUUUACACAAGAUGUCUGUGUGCACUGGGGCCGUCUAGUCUACCCUGGCCUGGUGAUCAG